rnacentral:rRNA from 1 species
GAUCCUGGCUCAGGACGAACGCUGGCGGCAUGGAUUAGGCAUGCAAGUCGAACGAAAAGCAGGAGCUUGCUCCUGUGGACGAGUGGCGAAAGGGUGAGUAACGCGUGAGUAACCUGCCCUCAAGUUUGGGAUAACCUUUGGAAACGGGGGCUAAUACCGGAUGUGGAUAUUUUUUCGCAUGGAGAAUUAUCUAAAGAUUUAUUGCUUGAGGAUGGGCUCGCGUAGCAUUAGCUUGUUGGUGUGGUAACGGCAUACCAAGGCGACGAUGCUUAGGUGGAUUGAGAGAUCGGUCACCCACACUGGGACUGAGACACUGCCCAGACUCCUACGGGAGGCUGCAGUCGAGAAUCUUCCGCAAUGCGCGAAAGCGUGACGGAGCAAUGCCGCGUGGUCGAUGAAGGCCUUAGGGUUGUAAAGACCUGUCACAUGGGACGAACUUUGACGGUACCAUGAGAGGAAGCACCGGCUAACUCCGUGCCAGCAGCCGCGGUAAUACGGAGGGUGCAAGCGUUAUCCGGAUUUAUUGGGUUUAAAGGGUGCGCAGGCGGACUGGUAAGUCAGUGGUGAAAUCCCGGGGGCUCAACCCCGGAACUGCCAUUUGAUACUGUCAUUCUUGAAUCAGGGUUGAAGUAGGGGGAAUGUAGCAUGAAGCGGUGAAAUGCAUAGAGAUACUACAGAAACACCGAUCGCGAAGGCAGCUUACUAAAACCGAUAUUGACGCUCAGGCACGAAAGCGUGGGGAGCGAACAGGAUUAGAUACCCUGGUAGUCCACGCCGUAAACUAUGAUCACUCGUUGUUGGCGAUACACAGUCAGUGACCAAGCGAAAGCGAUAAGUGAUCCACCUGGGGAGUACGAUCGCAAGGUUGAAACUCAAAGGAAUUGACGGGGGCCCGCACAAGCGGUGGAGCAUGUGGUUUAAUUCGAUGAUACGCGAGGAACCUUACCUGGGCUCAAAUGCAUAAUGACAAACCCUGAAAGGGGUCUUUCUUCGGACAUUUUGCAAGGUGCUGCAUGGUUGUCGUCAGCUCGUGCCGUGAGGUGUCGGGUUAAGUCCCAUAACGAGCGCAACCCCUACUCUUAGUUGCCAGCAUGUAAUGAUGGGGACUCUAGGAGAACUGCCUACGCAAGUAGAGAGGAAGGUGGGGAUGACGUCAAAUCAGCACGGCCCUUACGUCCAGGGCUACACACGUGCUACAAUGGCCGGUACAGAGGGCAGCCACCUGGUGACAGGGAGCGAAUCUCUAAAGCCGGUCUCAGUUCGGAUCGAAGUCUGCAACCCGACUUCGUGAAGCUGGAAUCGCUAGUAAUCGCGCAUCAGCCAUGGCGCGGUGAAUACGUUCCCGGGCCUUGUACACACCGCCCGUCAAGCCAUGGAAGCUGGGGGUACCUGAAGUCGGUGACCGUUAAGGAGCUGCCUAGGGUAAAACUAGUAACUAGGGCUAAGUCGUAACAAGG